rnacentral:lncRNA from 1 species
UGAAACUGUGAGGGCUUCAUCGAGGCGUUUCAGCCCUCUAAGUAGAAAAUAGUAGAACUGCCUCCAAGAAGUGGCCGAGGAGGUUAUGACACGAGGGGAAGGGACAAAGGAAAAUGCCCCUGGAGGUGUUCUGAACUACACAUCCCAGAAUCCUGUGUCAGCCCAGAACAACNCGAAUACAGUUGGCUGGAUCCCAUUUAGAAGAACUCCAGUUCUUUUGCAAAGGAGGGUGAAAGGAAGGAUCCAGCACUGUGCUUGGACUGAGAGCAGGAUUUGAAGAGGGACGGCUCACCUCUUGCACGACCCCAUUGCGCAGCAAGAGUUGGUGUUGGAAAAAGUGGGACAAAAAAGGAUUCUUCCAGGCCUUGCAGCUGCUAAUGGCAGACAUAGUUUCCAAUUGACCCCUCUUAUCUAGCAGCGGCUUUUCUCUUAACUCUCUCGCCUGAUCGGGGACCACCAGGGCUGCGUUCACACCUAAGUUUUAACCCAGUUUCCGUCCGCUUUCAGCGGGAGAGAACCCAUCAGCAAAGCGACUAAUCCUUUUCUUGCCACGUUAUCUGACUUUCCGAGUCAGACAGUGCCAAAAGAAACAGCGUCUCACUUUGCUGAUGCGUUCCUUUCACUCUGAAAGCGGACUGAAGCUGGAUUAAAACUUCGGUGNGAACACAGCCCUGGGCUCUGUUCUGGGGUAACCGGAAGUUGCAGGUUGCUUCCCUAAACUAGCAGCUCUGACCAACAAAAAUAACCUUAAUUAUUACCGCUCUUAAGAACAGGUUGGUUUUCCAAUCUCUCCUCCUUUGUAUAACAUCUUCCCUGAAAAAAGCAUUUUGGAAAGCCCUAAAACCNGAGUUUUCCAUUUACUAGCAUUUGUACUGUUUGGAGUAGGCAAACUGUGCAUUUUUGAGGUGUAUUUGUUUGGUGGACAACUUUUGCUUAUUUAUUGCGUUGCAUUUUAUGUGCGGGGAGUCGACAUGCCGUGUCCGGGCUGCAGAGGGUGCUGCUGGAGCCACAAGACAAAGAUUCCUAGAGAGGCGAGGACUUUAAAAGGCGGUGUCCUGCCCAAGGGCACCUCUACGCUUUUCGUACCUCUGGAGAGCCUGCCUGCCUGCCUGCUGCAAUGCUGCAAGAGGACACCCAGGCAUUGGUGUGCCGGUUUUACGCCCUGCAGAGCGAGCGGGUGGAGGCGUAUCACCUCUUCGAGGAGGGCCACCGGGCGUACCUGCGAAGCGCCCCGGCCUACGACUUCCUCCGCUACCGCCAGCUGGUGCACGAGAUCACCCAGGCCUUCAGUGGCAUCUCCCGGGAGAUCCUGCAGAUCCGAGAGCAGCUAGCGGGUGCCCACGGGCGCGCAGACCUGGCCGAGCACCUGGGGCGCCUGCAGGCGAAGGAGAAGGAGAAACUGGAGCUGGUGAGAGGAGGGAAAGACGGCGGGGGGGGGGGCGGUGCGUGUCCCUGG